GUCAACUCCCGCAGCAGAUCGCACUGCGAGGCCUUCGAUACAUAGGAUUUCUGGGAAUCUAUCUUCUUGGCGACCGACUUUUGAUCUGCUUUCUUGGCUUCCUUUACUGGAUUUUGAGGAGCUUUCUCGGGUUCGGCUGUUGAUCCCGCUUCUUUUGAGCUUUGACUGCGGGCGUUCUCUGUCUGGCACUGGCCGAAUCAGUCACCCUUGGUGUUUUUGGAAAGGAAUCCCCUCUCGCCUCCGGCGUGGUGGGCCUGGGUGGAUUGCUGUAGAAGGUGGGCUUCAGCAGGGGAUUCGUGCGGCGACAGCUGGCGCAGAAGUAUUUGUCGUAUCGGUCCCCUUCCUUUGGGUCCACGCCAAUGCACUCUCCAUGGAACCACACAUUGCAAUUAUCACAGGCACUGAAAAGGCUUUGGCAUACAAUGGAGUUCUAGGACAAAGAACCUAAACCACCUACAUCAUAAACACAUCGCCGUGGCUCUUGCGGCAGAUGCAAUAGACGACCUCCUCGGAUUCCGCAGCACGCUUUUUGCCCGUUGUUUGAUUAAUUGUGCACACACAACGUGUGCUCGUGCCGGGCAAAAAACGAGAUGGCUCCAUCACACUUUAAGGCCUCGGACAGCGGCAGAUGAAUACAAUUGCAUUUUGACCGCAGAACGACGGCCGGCUGACCUAAAAAAGCUUACGAUUGGCAGGUGCACAAAACGAAUAUUAAGGCUCAAAGGCAGCAGCACAAAAACCAGGAAAAAUAUUGUGUAAACAUGGCUUGCUCAAAGCCAGGAGGGUUGGGAUUUCAGGGGGAAAGGAGAUGGUUUCCACUCGAAUUGGGGAGGUUAUUCAAAGUUAAAAUUUUAGAUGACGGACAAAAAAUGUUGAAAAUAGUUUGGACUUAAAAAACAGCU